rnacentral:lncRNA from 1 species
AAAAGGGGCAGGAUAUACUAAAAAGAAAAUGUGGGCAAAAAACAAGCACAAGGCAGCAACAACAGUAACAUAACAAUAAAAAUAGUAGAUAAAAUAGCAAAAAUAAUGAGGAAUGUAACACCCCAAACCCAGCCUAGACGUUAUGGCCGUAUCUGGCAAUGUCACACAAUAGUGUUUUUGAAAUCUCAUUGUUACGUUGAAAACAUUCCAUGUUAUUAUCUUUAGUAAACCUUUG